rnacentral:rRNA from 1 species
UACAGAGGGGGCAAGCGUUAUUCGGAAUUACUGGGCGUAAAGGGCGCGUAGGCGGAUGUUUAAGUCAGUGGUGAAAGCCCAGGGCUCAACCUUGGAACUGCCAUUGAUACUGGACAUCUUGAGUACGGGAGAGGUGAGUGGAACACCGAGUGUAGAGGUGAAAUUCGUAGAUAUUCGGUAGAACACCAGUGGCGAAGGCGACUCACUGGCCCGUAACUGACGCUGAUGCGCGAAAGCGUGGGGGAGCAAACAGGG